CUUUAUUUUUACCAUUAGAUUGGAAUCCACUGGAUACCAAUUAUACUGAUGCUAAUUUGACGGUCAGGAACAAUACUGCACCUCUGCAAUCACUACUUCCACUAAGCUCGCUUCCUUGCAGGAUUUAGGAUUCUGUCGAAGGCUCGAAGCUCGCUUCUCUUAUGAGAGAUGGAACCGUGAAUCGAGAGAAUGGAGAAGAGUUCAACAUCAAUGAGGAAAGAAAGGCCUACUGGAGGAAGAAGAUGUCGAAGCUGAAAACGAUGAAACUGAUGAAACGCUAUCAUUCGGUGAAGAUAGACAGGAGUUGUUGCCUUUCCUAAACCUCAGGAGAUAUAAAGAGAUGCAAUUUUGUCAUCUGGUUUGCUGAAAACGCUCCAUUCCCCAACUUGCUUGGUUGUUCAGAUCAAGGAUUAGAUUUCUAGAUGCUACACCAUCUCCGUGUGGAUUACUUAUUCUUGCAAAUGAUCAAUUCAAUUGCAUGGCUAAUUCCUGAGUAAUAUUUCAGCCAAAAAGAAAAGAGAGGCUUUUCCUUGUUGAUAUGUGAAACUGCUUGAGACCUGGGUUUAGUGAAAUGGGAUGACACAAAAUUGGGGGCACUACAUGAGGCUAUUAAUCCUUGAGUAGUCUAUUAUAGUAGGCGAUUAUGUAUUUUCCUUAUUUCUUUUUAAUUCUUUCACAAGUGUUAUGUGUUGUCGUUCCCUCUAUAAAAGAAAUAAAUUACCAUAACACCACUAAGAGUGGCAUGUUAGAAUGA